rnacentral:rRNA from 1 species
AGAGUUUGAUCAUGGCUCAGAUUGAACGCUGGCGGCAUGCCUAACACAUGCAAGUCGAACGGCAGCACAGUGUGUAGCAAUACACAUGGGUGGCGAGUGGCGGACGGGUGAGGAAUACAUAGGAAUCUGCCUUGUAGCGGGGGAUAGUCCGGGGAAACUCGGGGUAAUACCGCAUACGACCUACGGGUGAAAGAGGGGGAUCGUAAGACCUCUCACUAUAAGAUGAGCCUAUGUCCGAUUAGCUAGUUGGUGGGGUAAAGGCCUACCAAGGCGACGAUCGGUAGCUGGUCUGAGAGGACGACCAGCCACAUCGGAACUGAGACACGGUCCGAACUCCUACGGGAGGCAGCAGUGGGGAAUAUUGGACAAUGGGCGAAAGCCUGAUCCAGCAAUGCCGCGUGUGUGAAGAAGGCCUUCGGGUUGUAAAGCACUUUAAGCAGGGAAGAAAAAGCACGACCUAACACGUCGAGCCUUGACGGUACCUGCAGAAUAAGCACCGGCUAACUCUGUGCCAGCAGCCGCGGUAAUACAGAGGGUGCAAGCGUUAAUCGGAUUUACUGGGCGUAAAGCGUGCGUAAGCGGUUCAGUAUGUCGGUCGUGAAAUCCCCGGGCUUAACCUGGGAACUGCGGCCGAAACUGCUGGGCUUGAGUGUGGUAGAGGGCGGUGGAAUUCCGGGUGUAGCGGUGAAAUGCGUAGAGAUCCGGAGGAACAUCAAUGGCGAAGGCAGCCGCCUGGGCCACAACUGACGCUGAGGUACGAAAGCGUGGGGAGCAAACAGGAUUAGAUACCCUGGUAGUCCACGCUGUAAACGAUGAGAACUAAACGUUGGCCAGCUUGGUCUGGUCGGUGUCGCAGCUAACGCGAUAAGUUCUCCGCCUGGGGAGUACGGCCGCAAGGUUGAAACUCAAAGGAAUUGACGGGGGCCCGCACAAGCGGUGGAGUAUGUGGUUUAAUUCGAUGCAACGCGAAGAACCUUACCUGGUCUUGACAUGCUAGGAAUCCCGCAGAAAUGUGGGAGUGCCGCAAGGAGCCUAGACACAGGUGCUGCAUGGCUGUCGUCCGCUCGUGUCGUGAGAUGUUGGGUUAAGUCCCGCAACGAGCGCAACCCUUGUCCUUAGUUGCCACCAUUCAGUUGGGCACUUUAAGGAGACCGCCGGUGACAAACCGGAGGAAGGUGGGGAUGACGUCAAGUCCUCAUGGCCCUUAUGACCAGGGCUACACACGUACUACAAUGGCCGGUACAGAGGGUCGCCAACCCGCAAGGGGGAGCUAAUCCCAGAAAGCCGGUCGUAGUCCGGAUCGGAGUCUGCAACUCGACUCCGUGAAGUCGGAAUCGCUAGUAAUCGCGGAUCAGCAUUGCCGCGGUGAAUACGUUCCCGGGCCUUGUACACACCGCCCGUCACACCAUGGAAGUUGGCUGCACCAGAAGUAGUUAGUCUAACCGCAAGGGGGACGAUUACCACGGUGUGGUCAAUGACUGGGGUGAAGUCGUAACAAGGUAACC